rnacentral:lncRNA from 1 species
GCCCAGGCUGGCAGGGGAGAAGGUUCUCCGGCAGAGGGACAGAGAGGGGGGAGGGGCCCGCAGCCUCAGGGCCCUGGCUCGGGUCAUCCCCUCUCCCAAGGCCCCUCCUUCCCUCCGAGGGGCUAGCCAGGGACCUUCAGAAACGCCUCCUGCCUCUGGUUUGUUAGGCUUCCAUCCCAGGUAGGAACACUCCACGGGCUCAUGUCCUGGCUGGCUCCCGGCGUCCUCCAGCACGCAGCAGUGUGUGACCUGGCAGGUGAUGAAUGGCUCGCUGCCUCAGUUUCCCCAGCUGUGACCCCACUGGUUAACCGAGAGCUCUUGCCGCACCUCACACCCAGGAAGCCCGCGACUCCACUCUUCAGCCAGGGCACUCUGGGUCCUGUGCCUUCUGGGCCGCGGCCUCUGCCCAGUACUGUAGGACCUCAGCAGGUGACCUUCCCUGGAAACCAGGUCUUUGCAGAUCUAAAGAUUUCCAGAUGGGAUCCUCGUGCGCUGGGAGCAGGCCCUCACUCCAGUGACUGGCACCACUGGAUGACAUUGAUGAGGGGAGUGAGGAAGAGGAGAGGACAGGAGGAACCUUCCCUCGGAGACUCCUGAGGGAAACGCCUUGAUCCAGAGCUUCGCGCCACCGGAGGGGUGACAUCAUCGGUUUCUGUCUGUGGAAGCUGGCCAGCCGUGGACACUGGUUAGGCAGGUCCGGGUCACUCACCAGGCUCACAGAGGGGCCUGGGCAGGUUGGCCGUGUGGCCAAGGAGCUUCCAAACAUUGUUCUCAGCCCCGUUUAGUGGCACACGCCUGUGGUCCCAGCAACUCAGGAGGCUGAGGCCAGGGGAGUCGGAACCCUGCAAAAAAGGCUCUGCAGUCCCAUGUGAAAAAUACCGUGUUUCAAAAUGGUGCACAAAAACACAUAAACCAUAAAAGAAUAACAAAUUGGGCUUUACCAAAAUUAAGAAGCCAGCUUCAGGGCCGGGAUGUGGCUCAGUGGGUGGAGUGCUGUGCCUGCCCAGCCUCAGCAAGGGCCUGGGUUUGAUCCCAGAACGGGAAACAACAAAACAAACAAACAACUGUGAAAUCCCAGCUCUCCCACUAACCGUGAGACUCCGGUGGACUUUGAUUCUCUGUGCCUCCAUUCUCAUCUGUGAAAUGGGGAGACCUGAGACUCAAGGUUCGUUCCAUUUAACUAUUAUUGUGUUAAAAAAGACCCUCGAUCCAGGCAUGGUGGCUCACACCUGUAAUCCCAGCGGCUCAGGAGGCUGAGGCAGGAGGAUCACAAAUUCAAAGCCAGCCUCAGCAACUUAGUGAGGCGAGACCCU